rnacentral:rRNA from 1 species
CCAAUAGCGUAUAUUAAAGUUGCUGCAGUUAAAAAGCUCGUAGUUGAAUUUCGGGACUAAUAUGUUAGUCGUGCCUCGGUACGUACUGGUAUUUUUGGUUUCUCCCUUCUGACGAACCUUGAUGUCAUUAAUUUGGUGUCUUGGGAAAUCAGGACUGUUACUUUGAAAAAAUUAGAGUGUUUAAAGCAGGCUCACGCUUGAAUACAUUAGCAUGGAAUAAUGAAAUAGGACGUUUGAUUCUAUUUUGUUGGUUUAUAGGAUCGACGUAAUGAUUAAUAGGGAUAGUUGGGGGCAUUAGUAUUCAAUUGUCAGAGGUGAAAUUCUUGGAUUUAUUGAAGACUAACUACUGCGAAAGCAUUUGCCAAGGAUGUUUUCAUUAAUCAAGAACGAAAGUUAGGGGAUCGAAGACGAUCAGAUACCGUCGUAGUCUUAACCAUAAACUAUGCCGACUAGGGAUCGGAUGAUGUUAAUUUUUUAAUGACUCAUUCGGCGCCUUACG